ACGCUCGACACCUACGGGAGGCAGCAGUAGGGAAUCUUCCACAAUGGGCGCAAGCCUGAUGGAGCAACACCGCGUGAGUGAAGAAGGGUUUCGGCUCGUAAAGCUCUGUUGUUGGAGAAGAACGUGCGUGAGAGUAACUGUUCACGCAGUGACGGUAUCCAACCAGAAAGUCACGGCUAACUACGUGUCAGCAGCCGCAAGUAAUCUGGAGGGCCGGGUCGUGGACGAACGGC
rnacentral:rRNA from 1 species